rnacentral:hammerhead_ribozyme from 1 species
CAGCUGACGAGUCCCAAAUAGGACAAAAUGCGCAUCCUG